GGAACAGAUCGCCAAGAGACGUAGGCU
rnacentral:piRNA from 1 species